UACCAGCACCCCGAGUGGUCGGGACGUUUAUUGGGCCUAAAGCAUCCGUAGCCGGUUCUACAAGUCUUCCGUUAAAUCCACCUGCUUAACAGAUGGGCUGCGGAAGAUACUAUAGAGCUAGGAGGCGGGAGAGGCAAGCGGUACUCGAUGGGUAGGGGUAAAAUCCGUUGAUCCAUUGAAGACCACCAGUGGCGAAGGCGGCAUCCUGGACCGGCAUUGACGCUGAGGCGCGAAAGCCAGGGGAGCAAACCGG
rnacentral:rRNA from 1 species